rnacentral:rRNA from 1 species
UACGUAGGGUGCAAGCGUUAUCCGGAAUUAUUGGGCGUAAAGAGCUCGUAGGCGGUUUGUCGCGUCUGCUGUGAAAGCUGGAGGCUCAACCUCCAGCCUGCAGUGGGUACGGGCAGACUAGAGUGCGGUAGGGGAGAUUGGAAUUCCUGGUGUAGCGGUGGAAUGCGCAGAUAUCAGGAGGAACACCAAUGGCGAAGGCAGAUCUCUGGGCCGUAACUGACGCUGAGGAGCGAAAGCAUGGGGAGCGAACAGGAUUAGAAACCCGGGUAGU